UACCUGCAGCUCGAGUGGUGACCGCUAUUAUUGGGCCUAAAACGUCCGUAGCCGGUUUAAUAAAUGCCUGGGUAAAUCGUGUAGCUUAACUAUACGAAUUCCGGGUAGACUGUUAGACUUGAGACCGGGAGAAGCUAGAGGUACUCCUGGGGUAGAGGUGAAAUUCUGUAAUCCUAGGGGGACCACCAGUGGCGAAGGCGUCUAGCUAGAACGGGUCUGACGGUGAGGGACGAAGCCCUGGGGCGCAAACCGGAUUAGAUACCCGGGUAGUCCAGGGUGUAAACGCUGCUUGCUUGAUGUUAGUUGGGCUCUGAGCCCAAUUAGUGUCGGAGAGAAGUUGUCAAGCAAGCUGCCUGGGAAGUACGGUCGCAAGACUGAAACUUAAAGGAAUUGGCGGGGAGCACAGCAACGGGUGGAGCGUGCGGUUU
rnacentral:rRNA from 1 species